UCUUGGGUGAUCAGUGGCGAACGGGUGAGUAACACGUGAGUAACCUGCCCCAGACUCUGGAAUAACCUCGGGAAACCGUGGCUAAUACCGGAUACGAAACGGAGCUGCAUGGCUGCCGUUUGGAAAGUUUUUCGGUUUGGGAUGGACUCGCGGCCUAUCAGCUUGUUGGUGAGGUAAUGGCUCACCAAGGCGACGACGGGUAGCCGGCCUGAGAGGGCGAUCGGCCACACUGGGACUGAGACACGGCCCAGACUCCUACGGGAGGCAGCAGUGGGGAAUAUUGCACAAUGGGCGAAAGCCUGAUGCAGCGACGCCGCGUGAGGGAUGACGGCCUUCGGGUUGUAAACCUCUUUCAGCAGGGAAGAAGCGAAAGUGACGGUACCUGCAGAAGAAGCACCGGCUAACUACGUGCCAGCAGCCGCGGUAAUACGUAGGGUGCGAGCGUUGUCCGGAAUUAUUGGGCGUAAAGAGCUUGUAGGCGGUUUGUCGCGUCUGCUGUGAAAAUCCGGGGCUCAACCCCGGACUUGCAGUGGGUACGGGCAGACUAGAGUGUGGUAGGGGAGACUGGAAUUCCUGGUGUAGCGGUGAAAUGCGCAGAUAUCAGGAGGAACACCGAUGGCGAAGGCAGGUCUCUGGGCCUCUACUGACGCUGAGAAGCGAAAGCAUGGGGAGCGAACAGGAUUAGAUACCCUGGUAGUCCAUGCCGUAAACGUUGGGAACUAGGUGUGGGUCUCAUUCCACGAGAUCCGUGCCGCAGCUAACGCAUUAAGUUCCCCGCCUGGGGAGUACGGCCGCAAGGCUAAAACUCAAAGGAAUUGACGGAAUCGA
rnacentral:rRNA from 1 species